rnacentral:rRNA from 1 species
CCUACGGGUGGCUGCAGUGGGGAAUAUUGGACAAUGGGCGAAAGCCUGAUCCAGCCAUGCCGCGUGUGUGAAGAAGGCCUUCGGGUUGUAAAGCACUUUCAGUGGGGAAGAAAGCCUUGGGGCUAAUACCCUCGAGGAAGGACAUCACCCACAGAAGAAGCACCGGCUAACUCCGUGCCAGCAGCCGCGGUAAUACGGAGGGUGCGAGCGUUAAUCGGAAUUACUGGGCGUAAAGCGCGCGUAGGCGGUCUGAUAAGCCGGUUGUGAAAGCCCCGGGCUCAACCUGGGAACGGCAUCCGGAACUGUCCGGCUAGAGUGCAGGAGAGGAAGGUAGAAUUCCCGGUGUAGCGGUGAAAUGCGUAGAGAUCGGGAGGAAUACCAGUGGCGAAGGCGGCCUUCUGGACUGACACUGACGCUGAGGUGCGAAAGCGUGGGUAGCAAACAGGAUUAGAUACCCUGGUAGUC